rnacentral:rRNA from 1 species
UACAUGGGGUGCAACGUUGCUCGGAAUCAUUGGGCGUAAAGCGCGCGUAGGCGGUUGCUUAAGUCGGAUGUGAAAGCCCUCGGCUUAACUGAGGAAGUGCAGUCCGAAACUGAGCAGCUAGAGUACGAAAGAGGGUCGCGGAAUUCCCGGUGUAGAGGUGAAAUUCGUAGAUAUCGGGAGGAACACCGGUGGCGAAGGCGGCGACCUGGGUCGAGACUGACGCUGAGGCGCGAAAGCGUGGGGAGCAAACAGGG